AGACGGGUUCUGCCACUGUGAGCAGAGAGAGGGCCGUGAGAGAGAGCUGUGUGCAGAUGAAGGGGUCUGUGCCACAGUGUUUCGGGCGAGCGGGCCUGUCUGCUGUGAGCUGCAGACUGUCGACGUGGCUGAAUGAGGGCAGCAGCAGGGACGGGACACAGACCUACAGCCGGUGCUACAGUGGGUAGAGGCACAGCUGAGGCCAUCGUGGGAAGAGGUGGCAGCGCUCUCACUCGUGACCGAAGGGUUGUGGUCAAAGUUUGAGAGACUGCGGCUGGCUGAUGGCGUGCUACAGCGGGCAUGGAAGGAGUCAGCUACGGGAGAGGAGAGGUGGCAGGUGGUGGUCCCAAAAGCAUUGCAGGAGGCGGUGCUCCAGAGUACUCAUGGGGGGGUGGGGACUGGACACCUUUGGGUCACAAAAACACUCCGCCGCCUCCGUCAGGGCUUUUACUGGGGGCAGCACAAGAGGGAUGUGGAGGACUGCCGCCGCUGUGACAACUGCACAGCGAGAAAGGGCCCUCCAGGCCACUCUCAUGCUCAACUCCAACAGUUCCCAGUUGGGGCUCCCAUGGAGAGAGUGGGAGUGGAUGUAGUUGGGCCAUUCCCCACCACAGACAGUGGAAACCGCUAGGUGCUCAUGGCCAUGGACUAUUUCACAAAAUGGGCCGAGGCCUAUGCUCUGCCUGACCAGGAGGCAGAGACCAUCAUCGAUGCACUGACAGCGGGAUGUUCAGCAGGUUUGGAGCUGCAGAGUCCAUCCACAGCGACCAAGGCAUAAACUUUGAGUCCCAUGUGUUGGGUAUGCACAAGACCCGCACUACUCCUCUCCAUCCUCAAAGUGAUGGGCUUGUUGAGCGCUUCAACAAAACGCUUGGACAGCAGCUGGCCAUUGUCUCUGCCAAACACCAGCAAAACUGGAACAAGCACCUGCCCUUGAUCCUCAUGGCAUGCCGCUCCGCUAUCCAAGGCUCCACCUCCUGCACGCCUGCCCUCCUCAUGCUGGGGAGAGAGAUCCGCACCCCUGCAGAGAUGGCGUUUGGCGGGCCCUGGAUAGCCCUGCUGUUCCCCCAGGGCCAGAGUAUGCCCGGAGACUCCAGGACCACCUGGAGACAGCCCACACCUUCGCCAGAGAGCAGCUGGAAAAUGCAGAUGUGAGGAAGAGGAACUAUGACGUGCACACCUGGGGAAGGCACUUUGUGGCUGGGGAGCUGGUCUGGGUCUACAGCCCCCUGAGAAAGAAAGGCAGAUGCCCCAAGUUGGACAGCCACUGGGUGGCCCUGCAGCGUCCUGGAGAGGGUAGGGGAGGUUGUUUAACGGGUGCAGCUUUCUCCCAGGGGGAGAAAGGUGGCACUGCACCGGGACAGAUUUGCCCCGUACAGAGGGGCCUCUUCUCCCCAAACCCCAGGGACCCCCACAAUUCCCCUCUCUGGAAAUGACAUGGUUGGUGGAGUGGCGUGGGGGGGUGGAGCAUUGCAAGUUAAGACUAUUUUUAGCCAUUGUUCUCUCUCUUACGUCUGGUCUUGACAAGAGAAGGUUUACGGCUGUUUUAGACGGGUAUCUUUAAUUUAUUUGGCGUGGGCUACGGCCAAACAGUAGCCUGUGUGGAGUUGGGUUAAUAAACCGGGAAUUCGUAAACUCAAUCGUCUGUCUGGACAAUUGUUCCUUUAUGAUCUAGCCAGGUCAUUACAAUACCAUCUGUUUUUGUCAAAGAAAGAUGCCAGACUAGUUCAUGUGGAUGCCAAUAGAUUUCCAGCUUUGUGCUUCGUUUGACAGUGCGGAUGCAUAUCUUCAGGCCAAGAAGUGACAGUCCAUUCUGCGAAUGAAACAGACAGGAGGUUGAGUGGGAGAUGGGCAGGACUUUCCAGCCUUCAUUGGGGUGGCUAUGUAAUGUAAGCCGACACCAGAGUCAGUUGUUACUACAGGUCAUGAACUCACUUUCAUGGGCUGAACAGACUGAGAUUCAGAAGCGAAUAUACAUUGAUAAAACAAUUAACAUACACAGUUCCCUAAUUGACCUUUAUUGUAAUGCAUGAUGACUUGUGUUUAAUUAAAUGCACUGUGUAAAUGUCUAGUAGAUGGCUGGCUAUUGCCUUACCUAUGUGUUGUAAAAGCCAAUCUUAUGACCUGUUAGGCUAUAUUGCACAUUGCCCAGUGUCUAAAUGUUCCCCUGAAUCCCCCUUCCAUAGUUGGCAUGGUGGGUAUGAAAUCAAAUCAAAUCAAAGUUUAUUUGUCACGUGUGCCCGAAUACAACAGGUGUAGACCUUACAGUGAAAUGCUUACUUACAGGCUCUAACCAACAGUGCAAUUUUCAAGAAAAAAAUAGGUAUUAGGUGAACAAUAGAUAAGUAAAGAAAUAAAAAGCAACAGUAAAAAGACAGUGAAAAACAACAGUAGCGAGGCUAUAUGCUGUAGCGAGGCUAUAUACAGGCACCGGUUAGUCGGGCUAAUUGAGGUAGUAUGUACAUGUAGGUAUGGUUAAAGUGACUAUGCAUAUAUGAUUAACAGAGAGUAGCAGCAGCGUAAAAGAGAGGUUGGGGGGGCAGAACAAUACAAAUAGUCCGGGUAGCCAUUUGAUUACCUGUUCAGGAGUCUUAUGACUUGGGGGUAAAAGCUGUUGAGAAGCCUUUUGGUCCUAGACCUGGCUCCCCGGUACCGCUUGCCAUGCGGUAGUAGAGAGAACAGUCUAUGACUGGGGUGUCUGGGGUUUUUGACAACUUUUAGGGCCUUCCUCUGACACCGCCUGGUGUAGAGGUCCUGGAUGGCAGGCAACUUAGUCCCAGUGAUGUACUGGGCCGUAGGCACUACCCUCUGUACUGCCUGUAUAUUGUAUAUUUCAUACAAUGCCUGUAUAUUGUAUAUGCAUAGUGCCUGUAUAUUGUAUAUUUCAUACAAUGCCUGUAUAUUGUAUAUACAUAGUGCCUGUAUGUUGUAUAUUUCAUACAAUAUACAGUCAAAAUAUUAGGUCUAACUGGCAGUAGUAGCCUACAUGAUUUGUGUGUGUGUGUCUUUCUCUUUUUUCUUCCAACCUCGACUGCACCACAGCAAAUUAUCUGUCAUUUCUCAGAGACACAGACACAGGGGUUUGGGGGGGGGGCAAUGCAAAUAGUCUGGGUAGCCAGUUGAUUAGCUGUUCAGGAGUCUUAUGGCUUGGGGGUAAAAGCUGUUGAGAAGCCUUUUGGUCCUAGACCUGGCCCCCCGUGUAACUGACAAUUAAUCUGUAAGUCUAUGUCGUUGUUUUUUUGUUUGAAUUGUUUACGUGUUCGCUAUGCGGGGGAAAUGAUAAGACAGGUGGAACGACGUGGCUAAUAACUGUUGUAACGGGGAUCAUUAUCGUAGCAACACAUCUUUGGGUGUAAAGGCAUUCCCGCGCGGUGUUAGCUAAGUUUUCAUGUUACCGGAUGUAGUUCGUAAAGGUUGAUAUGUGUAUGUUAGGAUGAAGCGUGAAUUCAUGCCAGGAAUAAUAAGUGUGAAGUUUGAUUUCCUCCCUUCUGUAAUAAGCAGCCAAUGAGUUCUCACGGAAGGUGAUAAUUCUGACUAAACUACAGAAUAAAGCCGCCAGUCAAAAUCAAGGAACGGUUGUGCUCGUGGUUACUGGAGGGAGCUACAGUGAGAACUCAGUGCUCUUCACGAGCAAGAGAGAAAGAAGAAUCUCAUCCAGCUGUAAAGUCUACAAGAUACCCAAAUCCUGGUAGGCCCUGUCAUCUGCCAGAUAAGAGUUUUGCACCUACCUGCAACCUAAGAAGAACAUCUCCACAUAAGGAAGCAUCGUGAGGCAACAUAAGGUCAAGGCUAACAGGAAAGUCAGACACGCAGGUACAAGUCAAAGCGUUUGAAGGUGGCCCUAGCCUUGUGAACUGCUAAUUAGAGACUUUAAGAUUACAAUUCGUAAGGACUGGAGAUAGUUGUGUAUUUCAUCAAGACGCUGGUAUUAUGCAUUUGCUCUUUCUUUCUUAAUGUAUCGUUAUUAUGUGUAUUACUGGAAAAAUAUUAUUUGAUACUUACUAAAACAAUAUAUAUAUUGCUACAAAACAUUAAGGGUCAGCGUACACCUAUUAAUUAUAUUUUCACCUGUAAGUUAAUAGUGUAAUUGUUUGGUAAGGUGUUUGUUCAAGCCUUUGUUACAAGCAUUAUACAUGUUUAUACCACGUACUAAGGUUUAAAUUACCUACUCACUUAUCCAAACCUUACCUAGAAUUGAUUUGAUUUGAUUUAGAAUGUCAGAAAAGGGUAGUUUCACUAAAGGAGAUAGAGAUGGGGUGGGUCAAGUUGAGCAGCAACACCUCGCAAACUUCAAGCCUUCAUCAGAACAAACAGAGCAGCAGGAAGAGACCCGGACUGGUGUGGAGUCACGGCUGCCAGCGAAUGAUGAUACAGAAGCUGCUAAUGAGACAUCACAACAAGAGCCACGAAAAGGUGAGAGGGUCCGCAGGUUAACUGAAAAGAGCAGAGAACUGCGCGACGAAAGGUGGAGACAGCUCGAACAUCGUUUCAGGGUCAGCUAUGAGAAGUGGAAGGCUCUGGUAAAGGAAGCAAAACUGUCACUGACAGGAUGUUGCUCUGAAGACCUACUAGAAGACCUCUUAAACAAGAUCAGCCAUACCUCUACAGAGCUAAACCUUGUUUAUGUAAAUUUGCGUCAAAUUGACAUUCCCGACAACGAUAUACGCCGCAGAGUUGAUACGUGUGAAGCAGUUACAAUGUCUAUUAUCAAGACUGUAAGGUGUCAUUUAAAGGUCAGGGAAGAAGGUCAAAGUAACCAGAUAGAGCUGCACUGGAAGGACAGCAAUCCUUGUGCAUGUCUGAACUCUCACAUAAGUCAAGUCUCAACUAUCAGCCCUCAAGCGCUUCCUCCCAGUCUCAAAGCAACUCAAAGGUCAACUUCAGACACUCAAGCGUGUCAUCUGUUAAGAGACAAGUUGCUGCUAACCAAGCAGCUUUAGAAGUAAUGGUUAAGCAAGAAAGCCAACUAGAAGAGCUUCAGAGACUCGAAGAUGAAGAUAAGAAGAGGACAGCGGAGCAAGAAGCUGAGGCUGUGAAACGCAGCUUAGAAGAAGCUAGGCUGCGAGUCAAGUUAGAGGUAGAAAAUGCUGCCAGACGAAGGACGCUAGAAGACAAGCGUAGAGAGUUAGAGCGCUUAGAAGUGCUCAAGAAACUAAAUACUGCCAAGGCGCGGAUGCAAGUGUAUGAGCAAGAUGAAAACUCAGAGGACGAGAAGAGAGAACUACUCUCUAACUUCAAAUCUGUGAAAGAAGUCAUGCACAGAAGUGGCUCAUUUCACAGUCUCUCACCACAACAUGUUGUGACAAGCACACAACAUGAAGAUAGCACCAAGACCAUGUUCAGGUUACUAGCGGAAUCAAUCAGUGAAAGCCGCCUCCCCAUACCAGAACCAGUGACAUUCAAUGGAGAACCACUCUCGUUCACUGACUGGAAGGUCUCUUUUCAGACUCUGAUAGACAGGAAGAACAUACCAGCAACUGAGAAUAUAUAUUACUUAAGAAAAUAUGUCGGUGGGCCUGCCAAGAAAGCCAUCGAAAGUUACUUUAUGUUAGGAACAGAGUCAGCCUACCAUGCUGCGUGGACCAUUCUUGAAGAAAGGUACGGAAACAAAUUCCUCAUCGCCAAGUCCUUCAGAGAUAAGCUCAAUGCAUGGCCUAAGAUAGGAUCCAAGGACAGUCUUAAACUUAGAGACCUUGUAGAUUUUCUCCGCAGCUGUGAGGCUGCUAUGUUUCAGAAUAAGGGCCUGAAGGUGCUUAAUGACUGUAAUGAAAACCAAAAGAUCCUCGCUAAACUUCCAGAUUGGCUAAUUUCAAGAUGGAAUAGAAAGGUCAUAGACAUCCUAGAAGAAACUGAGACCUUUCCCAGCUUCAGUCAGUUUGUAAAGUUUCACACGAGAGAAGCCAAGAUCGCUUGCAAUCCUGUAACAUCCCUUCACGCUUUGAAACCAAGCGAAGAUGGAAAACCUAAGACGCCAAGGAUUCAAAGCCCUGGAGCAAGGGUAUUAGCAACUAACUCUGAUGAGAAAAAUACUGUCACUAGUUGUGUCUUCUGUGAGAAGUCAGGUCAUAGUCUCCACAAAUGUUGGAAGUUCAUGGAUAAGCCCACCGCAGAGCGACAGAAGUUUGUUCAAGAGAAUAAAUUGUGCUUCGGCUGUUUAAGGCCUGGGCAUCGUUCGAAAGAUUGUGAUAACAGGAACACCUGUGACACGUGUCAGAGGAGGCAUCCAUCCUGCCUGCACGAAGAUCGUACUAAAGAAAGGUCAAGGGAUAGGAAGACAGAGCCCCCACAAGAUAAGGGGACAAGUGCGUCAAGUGAAGCCAUAUCUAACAGAGUCGUAAGGGACAUUAACAACACUCACACCUCCACAAUCAUUCCAGUAUGGGUGUCAACCACAAGCGAGCCCGAUCGUGAAGUUCUCGUGUAUGCACUUCUUGACACCCAGAGCGACACCACCUUUAUCCUUGAAGAGACAACAAAGGCUCUCAAUACAAAGAAGGAGCCAGUACAACGAAACUCUCUACAAUGGCCUCAAGGAAUACCAUCGUGCCCAGCCAGAAGCUGUCUGGUUUGCAGGUUAGAGGGUUUUACCUGGAGAAGAAAAUCCCUCUGCCAACUACCUACUCGAGAGAGUUUAUUCCUGCAAACAGAGAUCAUAUUCCUACUCCAGAGACGGCAAGAGCAUGGUCUCAUCUUCAACACAUUGCAGAGGAGAUUGCUCCUCAACAGAGCUGUGAUGUCGGUCUCUUAAUUGGCUACAACUGCUCCCAGGCUCUCCUUCCAAGAGAAAUUGUGUCUGGUAAGGGAAAUCAGCCUUUUGCUCAGAGAACAGACCUUGGCUGGAGCAUAGUCGGCUAUGGAAACCCAUGUAUCGACUAUGGCGACGCUAUUGGAGUGAGUCAUCAGGUUAUCGUUAGACAGGUGAUGCCAAGUCUUCAAUCUUCUUUCAACCUCACAAAUCAAGUACACUAUGUUUGUAGAACACGCGUAAGAGAGGUAAUCACAGCACGGGACGUUAUCAAGACGCUUGAAUCCGACUUCAAUGAGAGAGCUGCAGAAGAGGACCUCAUAUCUCAAGAGGAUAUCCGGUUCCUGACAAAAAUGAAAGCGGGCAUCUGACGCAAGGACAAUGGACAUUACGAGAUGCCGCUGCCAUUUAAGGAAGAAAGACCCAACCUGCCGAACAAUAAAACAUGUGCAGUUCACCGUCUCAAGUGCCUGGAAAGGAGGCUGAGGAGAGACAAGCAGUACUACAAGGACUACACAGCAUUUAUGGAAGAGACCAUAGCUCGUGGAGAUCCUGAGAAGGUCUCCAAGGAAGAAAUUAACAAGCAUCCAGCAUGGUACAUCCCACAUCAUGGGGUUUAUCACCCACAAAAGCCUGGGAAGAUAGGAGUCGUCUUUGACUGCUCAGCUAAGUUUCGAGAGACGUCCUUGAAUGACCAUCUCCUCACCGGUCCAGAGUUGACAAACACAUUGCUGGCAAAAUCUUUUGUCAUUUUCGUAAGGGUCCAGUUGCAAUCAUGUGUGAUGUAGAGCGCAUGUUCCACCAGUUUCAUGUGAAAGCAGAAGACCAAGAUCAUCUGCGGUUCCUUUGGUGGGAGAACGGCGAUCUAGAGUCUCAACCCUCAGUGUAUCGUAUGAAGGUCCACUUGUUCGGUGCAGCUUCAUCUCCUGGUUGCGCCAACUAUGGUCUCAAACAUCUCGCUGCUGAAGGACGAGGAAGCUUCAGCGAGAAGUCUAUCCAGUUCAUAGAAAGGAACUUUUAUGUUGAUGAUGGGUUGACGAGCGUAUCGUCUGAAGCUGAAGCGGCCCAGCUGGUGAAAGAAGCAAGAGAGCUUUGCAGCAUCGGCAAACUUCGGUUGCACAAGUUUAUCUCUAACAGCAAGGAAGUUAUAGCCACAAUUCCCAAGGAAGAAUGUGCUGAGGGUGCCAAAGACCUGGAUAUGGCUCUGGGUGAACCACACAUGGAGAGGGCGCUUGGUGUACUAUGGUGUGUCGCAUCAGACAAGUUCCAGUUUAGGGUAGUUGUUAAGGAACGCCCACUCACAAGAAGAGGAGUGUUGUCUACAGUAGCCUCUGUAUAUGAUCCGCUUGGGUUUGUGGCACCCUUUGUCCUGGCAGGGAAGCAGAUCUUGCAGCAGAUGUGUCGUGACAAGAUCGACUGGGAUGAGCCCAUUCCAGAUGACCUACGUUUCCAGUGGGAAUUCUGGCUCCAAGGUCUACAAAAGUUGUCGGAAGUAAGGAUCCAACAAGGCUACUUGCCAUCAAGUUUCAAGGAAGUGCAGAGUUAUGAGCUCCAUCACUUCUCCGACGCUAGUACCUCAGGUUAUGGAGAGUGCUCAUACCUCAGAACAAUCAGCACAGCAGGAGAAGUUCAUUGCUCCCUAGUUAUGGGGAGGUCGAGAGUCGCCCCUUCCAAUAUUACGACCAUACUACGACUGGAACUUUCAGCAGCGGUGGUAGCUGCUUUCUUUGGCAAGAAGAACUUCCCAAAGGACAAGUCAAGGGGGGAGAGUUCUCAGACAAUGACCCAGAGCUGCAGAAAUCCCUGGUCCAUGAUACCCAGGCAAAGGAAGAAAGAUCGUUACUAGAUCACCUUCACAAGUUCUCAGACUGGGCAAGAGUGGUAAAAGCUAUUGCCAGGCUCAAACGACGUGUCAAGGAAGCCAUAGGCUUAAAAUUGAGGUCUAGUGAAGCUACAAGCAUAGAAGAAAGGAGAGAGGCAGAGCUCACCAUUAUAAGGAUGGUUCAAGAAGCAGCCUUCUCCCAUGAGAUACACAACCUUAGGCACCAGAAAGACAUCAAGACCAAAGAUAAACCAAGCAAGUUGCAUAAAUUGAGUCCAUUUCUGGAUGAGCAAGGUAUCCUCAGGGUGGGAGGUCGCUUGGCUCAUGCAACUCUUCAUUCCCACGUGAAGCAUCCUGCAAUCCUGCCAAGAGAUAGCCACUUGUCAGUGCUGCUCGUCAAGCACUAUCAUGAAAGAGUACGACACCAAGGACGUGGAAUAACGAUCAAUGAGCUGCGAUCCAACGGUAUAUGGAUCCUAGGAUGCAGCAAUGCAGUUUCCUCACACAUCUACAAAUGUGUGAAAUGCAGGAAAUUCAGAAGAUGUACAGAAGAGCAAAGGAUGGCAGAUCUUCCGAAGGAACGCAUGGAGACCACGCCUCCCUUCACAUACUGCGGGAUGCUGCUUUGGACCUUUCUAUGCCAAGGACGGAAUAAGAGAGUUAAAGUGUUAUGGGCUCCUACUCACUUGCAGGGGCUCUCGAGCAGUUCACAUUGAAAUGCUUGAUGACUUAACCACCGAUGCCUUUAUCAAUGCCCUGCGUUCAUUCAUUGCCAUACGUGGUAAUGUUCGUCAAAUCAGAUGUGAUCAAGGCAGCAACUUCAUUGGCGCAAGACGCGAGUUUGUGGACGCCCGGAAGGAAAUGGAUCAAGAACGAUUGAAGGAACUUGGAUGCGAGUUUAUCAUGAACACCCCAUCUUCAAGUCACAUGGGUGGUGUUUGGGAAAGGCAAAUCCGCACGAUACGAAGUGUCUUGACAUCCAUUCUUGAUCAGUCAGACGGAAGACUCGACAGCGCUUCUCUGCGUACCUUUCUCUAUGAAGUCAUGGCGAUUUUAAAUAGUAGGCCCCUAACUACGGAAUAUCUGAAUGAUCCAUUAGGUCCAGACCCGCUCACACCAAAUCACAUCUUGACAAUGAAGUCCACAAAUCUCUUACCACCACCUGGACAGUUCAUCAAGGAAGAUCUUUAUCUCCGCAAGAGAUGGCGCAGAGUACAAUUCUUAGCCAAUGAAUUCUGGGCAAGGUGGAAGAAAGAGUACCUCCUAAACCUCCAACACAGGCAGAAAUGGAAUAAAGACAGAAGAAACGCAAGUAUUAAUGACAUUGUCAUAUUGCAAGAUGAUACUGUACCACGCAACCAGUGGAAAUUGGCAAAGGUUACAGAAGUGUACCUGGGACAGGAUGGCCGGGUGAGAAGAUGCAAGUUACUGAUCAGCGACUCAACCCUGGAUGAGAGAGGUAAACGCAUCACCAAACCCACCUAUCUGGAGAGGCCCAUCCAUAAGACAGUCACCCUCCUGGAAGCCGAUCAAAAAACCUGCAGACCCCUUUCACAGAAAUCACAGGUGAUUGGUGGGAGUGUAACUGACAAUUAAUCUGUAAGUCUAUGUCGUUGUUUUUUGUUUGAAUUGUUUACGUGUUCGCUAUGCGGGGGAUAUGAUAAGACAGGUGGAACGACGUGGCUAAUAACUGUUGUAACGGGGAUCAUUAUCGUAGCAACACAUCUUUGGGUGUGAAGGCAUUCCCGCGCGGUGUUAGCUAAGUUUUCAUGUUACCGGAUGUAGUUCGGAAAGGUUGAUAUGUGUAUGUUAGGAUGAAGCGUGAAUUCAUGCCAGGAAUAAUAAGUGUGAAGUUUGAUUUCCUCCCUUCUGUAAUAAGCAGCCAAUGAGGUAUUUUUUCCUUUAUUCGUGUGUUCAAUCUGAUACUAUUAUAGCUCCGGCUAAACUGUUUAUGUAAGUAAGUACUUCAGAGUUAUACCAAGCUAAUAAGUCACUCAUAAGACAAGAAGGUGUAAGAGUGUGCUUAAACUGUAUUUUCAUUUACUUUAUAGUUCUCACGGAAGGUGAUAAUUCUGACUAAACUACAGAAUAAAGCCGCCAGUCAAAAUCAAGGAACGGUUGUGCUCGUGGUUACUGGAGGGAGCUACACCCCGGUACCGCUUGCCAUGCGGUAGUAGAGAGAACAGUCUAUGACUGGGGUGUCUGGGGUUUUUGACAACUUUUAGGGCCUUCCUUUGACACCGCCUGGUGUAGAGGUCCUGGAUGGCAGGCAGCUUAGCCCCAGUCAUGUACUGGGCCGUAGGCACUACCCUCUGUACUGCCUGUAUAUUGUAUAUUUCAUACAAUGCCUGUAUAUUGUAUAUGCAUAGUGCCUGUAUAUUGUAUAUUUCAUACAAUGCCUGUAUAUUGUAUAUGCAUAGUGCCUGUAUAUUGUAUAUGCAUAGUGCCUGUAUAUUGUAUAUUUCAUACAAUGCCUGUAUAUUGUAUAUACAUAGUGCCUGUAUGUUGUAUAUUUCAUACAAUAUACAGUCAAAAUAUUAGGCCUAACUGGCAGUAGUAGCCUACAUGAUUUGUGUGUGUGUGUCUUUCUCUUUUUUCUUCCAACCUCGACUGCACCACAGCAAAUUAUCUGUCAUUUCUCAGAGACACAGACACAGGACUCGGACCAGCAGAACCAGAACUUUUAGGAAAUAAGUAGAUUCAUUUCACACAUUUCGCAAAAUCGGCCUCAAGAGCCCUUUUUGGCACCCUCAUUUUGUUUUCUGUUUUGACUGAGUGACUGACAAAGUCAGAGCGGGUCUCACUCUCUUUGAUGAUGCAAGUUGGACUUUGAAUGUCAAUUUGCGAAACCUCAGCUUAGCGAAUCAGAUAACCGGCUGGCCGUUAACCACUGGUCAGCCAAAUGCUCAAUAUUGAUUACGACAACAGAGAAAUAGCACAAAGGUCAUAAAAUAACUCGCUCAUGGGCCACCAGCCAUGUCCAUUGUUUAAAAAUAUAUAUAUACUUUUUUGUUGUUGUCAAUUUCAAUCAGCCCACCCUAAUAAAGGAUGGUCCUUCGGGCAUUUGCUAGAAAUGGCAGAUGGCCAAUCCGCCCAAAGCCCGUGGGCCACCCCCACCUUGCAGGGGCUGUAGGUGUGUGUGGUAUGCCAGUGGAAGCGAGCAGGUCAUUAGGCAGGGGUCCAUCUUUUCACAGACUUAGUCAUACAGCACAAAGUCAAUUUGCCAAGUGCUCUCAUCAAACAUUUUAGACAUCAGCUCUGUUGCAACAAGGAUCCACCAAAAGCAAAUAUUUCACACAAAAACAAAUAAAACCCCACAGACUUAGGAAAUAUGUUGUUACAUAAAAUGUACAUUAAGUAAUGAGACUAAGAAUUUGAAUUAAUUACAACUUCUUUCGAAUGUAUACAUGUGCAACAUUGCAUCAAUAUUACUGAAGAAUAUUACUUUUUAUGCAAACAUGCACUGUGAACCAUUGUACAUGGGCCUUGAAUAAUUUUUUUUAUAUUUUAAUAAAAUAAACUGCAUGUUUUCUGGAGAACAAAGGAGAGUUGAACAAAAUUAGUAAUUGCGCA
rnacentral:lncRNA from 1 species